rnacentral:snoRNA from 1 species
UGAAGAAUAUGAUGAAAGUUGUUUAUUGGUGAUUCAUAUGAUCGAUAAAAAUUCCAACUCGCUACGUUCUUUCUGAUUCUUAC